AACCGAAAUUAGGGGAGUCCCGCUGAGCGGGACUGAGAACCUCGCUGAGCGGGGGACCCUUGGAACCUGUCCGGGUAAUGCCGACGAAGGGAAAAUAUAUGUAUAACUCG
rnacentral:ncRNA from 2 species